GACGAACGCUGGCGGCGUGCUUAACACAUGCAAGUCGAACGGAAAGGCCCUGCUUUUGUGGGGUGCUCGAGUGGCGAACGGGUGAGUAACACGUGAGUAACCUGCCCUUGACUUUGGGAUAACUUCAGGAAACUGGGGCUAAUACCGGAUAGGAGCUCCUGCUGCAUGGUGGGGGUUGGAAAGUUUCGGCGGUUGGGGAUGGACUCGCGGCUUAUCAGCUUGUUGGUGGGGUAGUGGCUUACCAAGGCUUUGACGGGUAGCCGGCCUGAGAGGGUGACCGGCCACAUUGGGACUGAGAUACGGCCCAGCCUCCUACGGGGGGCAGCAGUGGGGAAUAUUGCACAAUGGGCGGAAGCCUGAUGCAGCAACGCCGCGUGCGGGAUGACGGCCUUCGGGUUGUAAACCGCUUUCGCCUGUGACGAAGCGUGAGUGACGGUAAUGGGUAAAGAAGCACCGGCUAACUACGUG
rnacentral:rRNA from 1 species